rnacentral:rRNA from 1 species
UACGGGGGGGGCAAGCGUUGUUCGGAAUUACUGGGCGUAAAGGGCCAGUAGGCGGCCAACUCAGUCGGAUGUGAAAUCCCCAGGCUUAACCUGGGAACUGCAUCCGAUACUGGAUGGCUUGAAUUCGGGAGAGGGAUGCAGAAUUCCAGGUGUAGCGGUGAAAUGCGUAGAUAUCUGGAGGAAUACCGGUGGCGAAGGCGGCAGCCUGGACCGACAUUGACGCUGAACGGCGAAAGCUAGGGGAGCAAACGGG